rnacentral:rRNA from 1 species
AUUGAACGCUGGCGGCAGGCCUAACACAUGCAAGUCGAGCGGAUGAGUGGAGCUUGCUCCAUGAUUCAGCGGCGGACGGGUGAGUAAUGCCUAGGAAUCUGCCUGGUAGUGGGGGACAACGUUUCGAAAGGAACGCUAAUACCGCAUACGUCCUACGGGAGAAAGUGGGGGAUCUUCGGACCUCACGCUAUCAGAUGAGCCUAGGUCGGAUUAGCUAGUUGGUGAGGUAAAGGCUCACCAAGGCGACGAUCCGUAACUGGUCUGAGAGGAUGAUCAGUCACACUGGAACUGAGACACGGUCCAGACUCCUACGGGAGGCAGCAGUGGGGAAUAUUGGACAAUGGGCGAAAGCCUGAUCCAGCCAUGCCGCGUGUGUGAAGAAGGUCUUCGGAUUGUAAAGCACUUUAAGUUGGGAGGAAGGGCAGUAAGUUAAUACCUUGCUGUUUUGACGUCACCAACAGAAUAAGCACCGGCUAACUUCGUG